rnacentral:rRNA from 1 species
GGGGUAGAGCACUGAAUGAGGUAGGGGCCUAACCAGGUUACCAAACUCUAUCAAACUCCGAAUACCAUAUGUAAAUACUCAGGAGUCAGACUGCGGGAGCUAAGUUCCGUGGUCAAAAGGAAAACAGUCCAGAUCGUCAAUUAAGGUCCCAAAGAUAUAGCUAAGUGGAAAACGAUGUGAUUUUGCAUAAACAACCAGGAUGUUGGCUCAGAAGCAGCCAUUCAUUCAAAGAGUGCGUAAUAGCUCACUGGUCGAGUGAAGUUGCGCGGAAAAUUACCGGGGCUAAGCUAUACACCGAAAUUGCGGAUUUACAUUUGAAAGACAAUGUAAGUGGUAGAGGAGCAUUCUGUAGUAGGAAGAAGCAUGACCGUAAGGACAUGUGGACGAAGCAGAAGAGAGAAUGCUGGAAUAAGUAGCGAGAGGAUGGUGAGAAUCCAUCCCGUCGAAAAUCUAAGGUUUCCCAGGGAAGGUUCGUCCGCCUGGGGUAAGUCGGGACCUAAGGAGAGGCCGAAAGGCGUAUCUGAUGGAUAGCAGGUUGAAAUUCCUGCACUACGAAUAUACUUAAAAGAUUCAAGGGACGCAGAAGUGGAAGAUAACCAAGUAAGAGGAAAAGCUUGGCUCGCAAGAGGGAGUGAAAAUUAAAAGUAACGAAGUAUCAAGAAGCACGCUGACGAGAAAAGCUUGAAGACAUUGUAUAUAAGUACCCGUACCGCAAACCGACACAGGUAGAUGAGGAGAGGAUCCUAAGACGAGCGGGAGAAGCAUUGUUAAGGAACUCGGCAAACUAACCCCGUAACUUCGGAAUAAGGGGUGCUGAUGUAACAGUCAGUCGCAGAGAAAAGGCCCAAGCAACUGUUUAACAAAAACAUAGGUUUCUGCUAAAUCGAAAGAUGAAGUAUAGGAGCUGACGCCUGCCCAGUGCUGGAAGGUUAAGGGAAAGAGCUAGGGUUAAACCGAAGCUUAGAACUGAAGCCCCAGUGAACGGCGGCCGUAACUAUAACGGUCCUAAGGUAGCGAAAUUCCUUGUCAGGUAAGUUCUGACCCGCACGAAAGGCGUAAUGAUUUGGGCGCUGUCUCGACAAUGUCCCCGGCGAAAUUGUAGUACUAGUGAAGAUGCUAGUUACCUGCGAUAAGACAGAAAGACCCCAUGGAGCUUUACUGCAGUUUGAUACUGGGUUUCGAUGAUUUAUGUACAGGAUAGUUGGGAGACUAUGAAAGAGAGGCGUCAGCUUCUCCGGAGUCGUUGUUGGGAUACCAACCUUAAGUUAUUGAAAUUCUAACUUGUAAUCGUAAACCGGUUAGAGGACAAUGUCAGACGGGCAGUUUGACUGGGGCGGUCGC